CCCUCUGACACUGUCUAGCUGCAAAAAAACAAGCUAAGGGCUUCCAGUGAUAUUCUACAUAUGCCAAGAAGUCCUGAGGAACACAAGGGACCAGAAUCACAGUUAUGAUGCUGCUUGAAUUAAGAGCCUUAUCUCAGGAUGAAGGUGGAGAAGUAAUAGGUGGAAACUCAAAGAAAGACCUAUGGAUGCCAGCACUAGACAGCAUGGAUUUUUCUAAUACUGCAAAAAAUAUCAGUUGGACCCCUACUAUUGUACUGGGUAUGGACAGCAAUGUAAAGAAAGGAAAGCAGUCAUCUCCAGAAAACACAAGCACUCAAAUACAGCUGUGCCUACUGUCCAGCAAGGGAUGAGAAGAGAUAUGCCAGCCGCAAACCUUUUUCUUGCUCUUUG